rnacentral:lncRNA from 1 species
UAUAUAUAUAUAUAUAUAUAUAUAUAUAUAUAUAUAGAGCAGGACUGAUGUGCUCUUAGGAGCACGGAGGCCUUCGUGCUUCUGAGCCGUUUUUUAUGAUAGAAUUUCGAAUCGACGAUCGGCUCCGUUAAACUUGAUCUAGCGUAUUUGAAGUUUCUAGAAAAUAAUUUUUGCGAUUUUUCGAUAUCAUUUACCUAGCAAUCGAAAGGAUUCAAAAUCAAUAAUUUUUAACGGCUGAAAAUAAAUAUCCUAUAAAGAGUGGUGAUAUAGCACUAAAAUUUUCGAUCAGAAAUAUUGAUUUUGUUGUAGAUAGUAUAAAAAAUUUUGUAUCAAAAUUUCAUCUGAUUUGAAUACUUCUACACCGUUAAACUUGAAAACGGUAGAUAUCAAUUAUUAAAAAUUAUUGAUUUUGAAUCCUUUCGAUCACUAGGUAAAUGAUAUAAAAAAUUCACAAAAAUUAUUUUCUAGAAAGUUCAAAUACGCUAGAUCAAGUUUAACGGAGCCGAUCGCCGAUUCGAAAAUUCUAUCAUCGAAAACGGCUCAGGAGUACGGACGCCUCCGUGCUCCUGAGAGCACAGCAACCCUGCUCUAUAUAUAUAUAUAUAUAUAGAGAGAGAGAGAGAGAGAGAGAGAGAGAGAGAGAGAGAGAGAGAGAGUUGAGUUAGAAUACUUUCAAAAGUAUUUUAAUAUAUAUGCAUAAGGACCACGAUAUAUUUCAGGUGUACUACACUGUAAAAUAUUUACUCCAAUUUGUGUUCAAUUGGAUUGUUGAAGUAAUGUGUUCACUGAGCAUUUUUAUUUUUUGGGGAUCCCAAAGAUAAUGGCAUGUUGGACCAUAAAAUUUAUUGUGAUCUACAUGAAAGCAAAUCAGUGUACUAUAUAUAUAUAUAUCUUAUCUUUAUUUUGUCCUCAUAUUGUUUAGAUUCAUUUAAUAUUCACUUAUUCAAUUAUUGCCUUAUUUUAUUUACACCUAAGCUUCUCCAUUUUAGGGACAAAAUUUUUAGUAUUCUUUUUUAUUAGAGCUCUUCUAAACUAUUAUAAAAUUCAGAUGAAAAGCUUGUAUAUUGGAACGAAGCUUUAAGAUUCGCACGCCGAGUGAACUAUAUGAUUCACCAAACUGUCUCAAUAAGAUUUCGCUAAGGAGCUCCUCAAUGAAGCUCCACAUAAAAUUUAGACUUUUUAUUAUAUUUUCUUUUGUGUAAAUUUUAUAGACCUUAUGUGAGUGAUUGUGCAUAUUAAUAUGGUCUAUGAUGCAACAAUGUAAAAGGUACCUAUUUGAACUUAUAAAUAAUGAGAAUAGCAUUAAGUUUUUAACCACACAAACAUUUGAAUUGCAAAAAACCAAAAAGGAAAAUAAGAAAAGGAAAGCUACCAAAUUACUUUUAGGGCCCGUUUGGUUCGAGUUAUGUAAUAUUACAAAGUAUCUCGACAUAUCCAGGUAUUUUGGAUUUCGGCGUGAGAUUACUACUGAUGCUGCAUUAGCGCGUUUGGUUUAAUGCAGUAAUGUAAUACUAGAUUACAGUGUUUAUAGCAUUAAUACAUUUGGUUCAGUUUAUUAAAUUUAGUAAUCCUGACAUAAAAGUAUAGUUUUUUUCAAAAUUGCCCUUGUUGUGGUCAUUUGAAUAUUAAUUUUUGCGGAAAUGACAAAUGGAGGGAAGAAGAUCGUGAUGAUUACCUGGGAGGACGGCGCAAUAGAAGAUGAUAGGUGUGCGUGCGAGAGAGAGAAAAAGAGAGAGAGAGAGAGAGAGAAAGACGUCGAGAGAGAGAAAGCGAGAGAAAGCGGCGUGCGAGAGAGAGGGGGGAAGGCGAGAGAGAGAGAUGAAAAUAAUGCUGUUAAUUAGAUUUGGGGUUGUUGGAAGGUAAAAUUGUCAUUUUACAUAAUAUGUAGUAUUAAUGGGUUUCAGUAAUGCAAGAUACACGACCCCCCUCCCGUUAAUAUUUUCGAUGUAAUCCUGCUCGAUUUGUAAUGCUACAUUAACGACUAGAUUAUAUAGUAGAUUAACCAAACACAGUUAUUUUGGCAGGAUUACCUGUAAUCCUGCCAGGAUAACUCGAACCAAAAGCACCCUUAGGGCCCGUUUGGUUCGAGUUAUGUAAUAUUACAAAGUAUCUCGACAUAUCUAGGUAUCUUGGAUUUCGGCGUGAGAUUACUACUAAUGCUACAUUAGAGCGUUUGGUUUAAUACAGUAAUGUAAUACUAGAUUACAGUGUUUAUAGCAUUAAUAUGUUUGGUUCAGUUUAUAAAAUUUAGUAAUCCUGACAUAAAAGUAUAGUUUUUUCCAAAAUUGCCCUUGUUGUGGUGAUUUGAAUAUUAUUUUUUGCGGAAAUGACGAAUGGAGGGAAGGAGAUCGUGAUGAUUACUUGGGAGGACGACGCAAUAGAAGAUGAUAGGUGUUCGUGCGAGAGAGAGAGAGAGAGAGAGAGAGAGAGAGAGAGACGUCCAGAGAGAGAGAGCGAGAGAAAGCGGCGUGCGAGAGAGAGGGCCGGGGGGAAGGCGAGAUAGAGAUGGAAAUAAUGCUGUUAAUUAGAUUUGGGGUUGUUGGAGGGUAAAAUUGUCAUUUUACAUAAUAUGUAGUAUUAACGGGUUUCAGUAAUGCAAGAUACACGACCCCCCUCCCGUUAAUAUUUUCGAUGUAAUCCUGCUCGAUUUGUAAUCCUACAUUAACGACUAGAUUACAUAGCGGAUUAACCAAACAUAGUUAUCCUGGCAGGAUUGCCUGUAAUUCUGCCAGGAUAACUCGAACCAAACGCACCCUUAAAGGUAACCAUCAACACACUUAUUAAUAAUAAAAUCAUAAUGUGAGAUAAUAUAAGAGAAUGCAAGGAUAGAGCUAUAUUGGAAAAUGUCUAGAAUAUACCAGUUAUAUUGUUGAUGUGGUAUUCCCAGUCAAUCAGAAUGUUUCCUUUGCAUUCAUCCGUCCCAUCAUGAUUAUUAGAAAAAUAUUUUUCGUGUACUUUUUUUUUAAAAAGUGAGAUGUGAGUGAUAGAUUAUUGAUGACGUGGUGUAAGUGUGGUAGAGUAGAUUUUCUCACUGGAGCGCAUAAUGG